GUGGUUAUUUACAGAGCUAAAAAAUGAAUAAAAAAAUAGAGCCUGUCGACAUCCGCCAGACUCUACAGUACACACAGCAGUGCAUCCUCGUCUUAAAUCCGGCCUGGGGUCCUGGUGACCGGUGACAGUGUUAUAACGGUUUUACCCAUCCGUUGCCAAUUUUCUUCAGUGACAGAUUUCA
rnacentral:sRNA from 18 species